rnacentral:rRNA from 1 species
GAUGAACGCUGGCGGCGUGCCUAAUACAUGCAAGUCGAGCGAAGCGGGGACGGGUGAGUAACACGUUGAUAACCUCCUAUAAGACUGGGAUAACUUAGGGAACCCGGGGCUAAACCGGAUACUUAUACAUGGCUCCGCGCGGCAUUAGCUAGUUGGUAAGGUAACGGCUUACCAAGGCAACGAUGCAUAGCCGACCGGACAGGUUGAUCGGCAACACGGGAACUGAGACACGGUCCAGACUCCUACGGGAGGCAGCAGUAGGGAAUCUUCCGCAAUGGGCGAAAGCCUGACGGAGCAACGCCGCGUGAGUGAUGAAGGUCUUCGGAUCGUAAAACUCUGUUAUUAGGGAAGCGGUACCUAAUCAGAAAGCCACGGCUAACUACGUGCCAGCAGCCGCGGUAAUUC